CCCAUGACGAAAUGAUGAUUAAAUGUUGGUAGGGACAUCUGAGUUAAAAUGAGGAAACGCCAACAUCUCUGACUGCAUGGG